rnacentral:rRNA from 1 species
CUAGCGACUUCAGAGUUUGAUCCUGGCUCAGGACGAACGCUGGCGGCGUGCCUAACACAUGCAAGUCGAACGGAGAUACGCGCUGAUUCGAAGGUAGCUUGCUACUGGACUUUCUUGUGUAUCUUAGUGGCGGACGGGCGAGUAACGCGUGAGGAACCUGCCUUUCAGAGGGGAAUAACGAACGGAAACGUUCGCUAAUACCGCAUAACGUAUUUUUUCUGCAUGGAAGAGAUACCAAAGGAGCAAUCCGCUGAGAGAUGGCCUCGCGUCCGAUUAGUUAGUUGGCGGGGUAACGGCCCACCAAGACGACGAUCGGUAGCCGAACUGAGAGGUUGAUCGGCCGCAUUGGGACUGAGACACGGCCCAG